rnacentral:rRNA from 1 species
CGUCUAUAUACGUAUAGCAUAUCAAUAAGCGGAGGAAAAGAAACUAACAAGGAUUCCCUUAGUAACGGCGAGUGAAGCGGGAAGAGCUCAAAUUUGAAAUCUUCAAGGUUCUACCUUGACGAAUUGUAGUUUAAAGAAGUGUUUUCUGUUAGAGGAGUAGCAAAAGUUCCUGGAAUGGGACAUCAUAGAGGGUGAGAAUCCCGUAUUUGGUUACUUUUUCUAGCUUUGUGAUACACUUUCAAAGAGUCGGAUUGUUUGGGAAUGCAGUCCAAAAUGGGUGGUAAAUUUCAUCUAAAGCUAAAUAUUGGCGAGAGACCGAUAGCGAACAAGUACCGUGAGGGAAAGAUGAAAAGAACUUUGAAAAGAGAGUUAAACAGUACGUGAAAUUGUCAAAAGGGAAGCGUUUGACACCAGUGUUGUUUUUCCGAAAAUCAAUUAAGAGUGGCUUGAUUUUGUGUUGUAUUGACCUUGUCAGCUUUCUUCACUCUUUUUCGAGUCUUUCUUAAUGCACUUUUCGGUUAACAAGUCAACAUCAAUUUCUUUUGUUGUAAAAGGGUAUUUGGAAGGUGGCUUUCUUUUCGGAGAAAGUGUUUAUAGCCUUAUACCUCUACAAUCGGAGAGAUUGAGGUCUGCAGCGUAGAUCCUUCGGGGCUAGAUACACUUGUGCUAAGUUAUAGCUUUUCAUAGACAACUUGUUGACUAUGUUUAGUCAUGUAGCUUACCCGCUUGUGCUAUUUUACCUACGCUUAGGAUGUUGAGUCAUCACACAUCUCU